UACGUAGGGUGCAAGCGUUGUUCGGAAUUACUGGGCGUAAAGCGCGUGUAGGCGGCUCGCUAAGUCUGAUGUGAAAUCCCCGGGCUCAACCCGGGAACUGCGUCUGAUACUGGCGGGCUUGAAUUCGGGAGAGGGAUGUGGAAUUCCAGGUGUAGCGGUGAAAUGCGUAGAUAUCUGGAGGAACACCGGUGGCGAAGGCGGCAUCCUGGACCGACAUUGACGCUGAGGCGCGAAAGCCAGGGGAGCAAACGGG
rnacentral:rRNA from 1 species